rnacentral:rRNA from 1 species
GUAAGGAAUAUUGGACAAUGGACGCAAGUCUGAUCCAGCCAUGCCGCGUGAAGGAUUAAGGUCCUCUGGAUUGUAAACUUCUUUUAUAAGGGACGAAAAAAGGCUUUUCUAAGUCGUCUGACGGUACCUUAUGAAUAAGCACCGGCUAACUCCGUGCCAGCAGCCGCGGUAAUACGGAGGGUGCAAGCGUUAUCCGGAUUCACUGGGUUUAAAGGGUGCGUAGGCGGGCAGGUAAGUCAGUGGUGAAAUCCUAGAGCUUAACUCUAGAACUGCCAUUGAUACUAUCUGUCUUGAAUAUUGUGGAGGUAAGCGGAAUAUGUCAUGUAGCGGUGAAAUGCUUAGAUAUGACAUAGAACACUUAUUGCGAAGGCAGCUUACUACGCAUAUAUUGACGCUGAGGCACGAAAGCGUGGGGAUCAAACAGGAUUAGAUACCCGAGUAGUCC